GCCAAGUGUGACACAUUAAACAGCAAACAACAGUUUUUUCAAAGCAUCGAAGGAAGCGGCUAAUCUUUUGGAAGGGGCUCCUCAGCUCUUCCCAGUUAUCGGCUAUUGUGAUUUUGCAGUGAAAUUAUUCUAUUUUUUACAUAUUUUAAGCUGUCUGAAAGUAGCAAUAAUCAAAGUGAUGCUAUACAGAGCCAGCAGAAAUGCCCUUGCACACGUGUAAAGCUUCACACAGCUUUAUGUAUUAAAAAUCGAGCAAUCAAGGUCAAUUCUCGUGUAAAGAGUGUACAACUGCACUAAGCUUUUCAUAGCUGUAUUUGUUUAGUCCACGAAUCGUCCUCCCUCUACCAUUUAAGGACUCUAUGUGAGAGCAUUACAUGAAACCCAGCACCUACAGAGAAAGUAACAGCAAGACAGAUUCAUCACUUCCAAGCUCACCCAACGCCUGGCCACAGCAGGGCAGUGCAAACAUCAUCUUUAUUUUAACUACUAUUCAUCGCAUUCAGGACAACUAUCCCGGAGCAAAACACAGAGAAAUCCCUCCUGCAAGGAAGCCUUUUCCAUGCUUCCUCAGCACAGGAAUGAUGCGCAGGGGAGCACGUCCAGCACCAGGGCGGUCCCAGGGUGCAGGGCUCUGCCUCCUCCCCGCAGCCAGGCUGUUGGAAGCUGCCAACCCACGGACGGCACUGAAGACACGCGUGAGCUCACCGCAGCACCCACAGCCUCCGCAUCAGCCCUGUGGCAAAGACCCACGGGGACUACGGACACCCCAUUAGGUCCACGGUGCGGUACUCCGGGNNNNNNNNNNNNNNNNNNNNCCAGCCGCCAGCAGCGAGGGCCGCACCGGUGGUCACAGACCACGGAAUUACCGGCGGACAUUGGUACUUCAUCCUCCCGACUGACACCUCCCGAUGUUUCUCCUGACAACAAAGGGGCUGGUGAGUGGGAUAUUGAUAAAGCACAAGACGUGGGAGAGGGAACAAUUCGAGCAUCUCACCAGAUGAGGGGGUCAACACUCAAGAAAUGGAAGCAGCAGCUCAAGAACAGGUCGAUGGGAGGGAAGGACAGUUCUAGGAUGGCCCAGCUUCACAACCCAUCUAUUUAG
rnacentral:lncRNA from 14 species